GUCUGCUAGAUACUAAUCCUUUGAAAAAAUAAGCGAGGGCGAAGCUGUAGAAACUCAUACCUUAAGAAAGAAAACAAGGCUUAAAUAAAAAAUACAAUAGAAUUCAAUUUCAAACUUGCUUUUUUCUACGACAUUAAUUCACUAUAUUUUUCCAACGAUCUCCAACACUAUGUGAUAUCUUCACGUCUCACCCCCACUAUCUUUCCACACGGGGCAGCACUUCACUUCCUCUAAGGAACCACUAUUAACCCUGUAUCAAGCGGACACAAGUGGCCCAAGUGAGGGUCCCAUGGGUGUCCGCUUAAUACAGGUUUCACUGUAUGUGAUGCGACACACUUGGCCUUUCUUAGAAGCUUAUCAUCAAUCAACAGACGUCUCGUGGUCAUCAUGUUACCGUAUAAUAUAAAGAACUUUCUUAUGUCCACUCGACCGGUCCGGUCAAGCUUGCAUCCUUUUAUGGUUGUUUCAUUGUUUGUUUGUUUAUGAGCUCUGCAAAGAAAUGAGAGGAAGCAAAAACAGCACAGGUUGAAAUCGAAAACUGUUGAGUAAAAUUGCUGUCCAAAGGGAUUGCAAUGGAACAUACAACAAAGAGAGAAGACAGAGAAGACGACGCUAAUUCAGACAUCACUGACGACUUAGACAUUGAAAAAGGAAGUGAUGGAUUCAUAAUUACGAUAGGAGUGAGUCGAGAAAGGAUGAAAUUUCACCCCACACAACCAUCUGACAGGGAUAAAGGCAAAUAUGGAAACACUCGAAGAAAAGACAGUGAUUGCGUCGUAAUUUAAUCACUGCUAUGCUGCUCUGGUUAUACACGUCUUCGAUAAAGUUUCCUGACGUUAGUCUGACAGCAAUUGUAACUGCCACUACACUUGUAAUCUCUUGAUAAGCAGGAAUGUGUAUUGCGCGCCCUGGAUGGUGAUAGAUAGGCGAGUAGGAAGUUGUUUCAGGGCGCACGUAGCAGCACCCUAGGCCAUUAUAUUACCUUAAAAACAAGAAGCGUAAAGUGAAUGUCAUUUGUUAUUAGGCCGUUAGAGAUGAACUUAACACGCUAAAGGAUGCGACUGAUAAAUCAAUUGCAUGUGAUCACUCCUGACAAAGAGUCCCGCACUUAGAAAACUAAAACUCAGGCAUAUCGAAAUGUAAAAAGUAAAUACUUAAUCUCCUAUUGAACUUUAACAGACUGUCUUUUACAGAAUAUCCGUGGCUUCUGUCAUGUCUCUCUUUUUUUUUUUUUAAAUUUUUAUUUGUUCACAUACAGAAUAACAUACAAAAUAACCGUAGAGGAAAAAAGCUACAUAAUUACUUACAUUAAAAUACCUAAAACAGGUUUAACAAC